rnacentral:lncRNA from 1 species
CUGGAAGAUUUAAAGGGCUCCUCUUUUGUCAAUAUCCCCCUAGCUCUCCUGCCAGUUUUCUCUCACCUCCUGUACAGUUUUUCUGUCUCCUUAUCUGCUGCUACUCUAAGACAGGGCUUUAGCCUAUAGGCCAAAUCUGGCCCACCACCUGUUUUUGCAAAUAAAGUUUUAUUGGAAGACAGCCAUACCCAUUUGUUUACAUAUUGUCUAUGGCUGCUUAUACUCUACAAUGGUAGAGCUGUGGCAGAGAUUGCAUGCCUGCAAAACUGAACAUAUUUACUAUCUGGCCCCUUGCAAAAAAUAAAAAGUUUUCUGACGGUAUACUAGAGAAUGAGCUUCAGCUGAUAAGAGAUGAUAAGGAAAUAGUGCAACUCAAAAAUGGGACAAGGGAAAUAGAGAAAAACGGAAUAUGCCCCUAGAUUGUUGUAUGAGCAAUGGAUGGGAGAUGAAGAAUACUGCAGUAUUUAUAAACCAGAUAGUAAAAGCUUAAACAAGAAAAUAAGAGUAAGAGCCAAGGGAGGCUGAGGUGAGAGGAUUGCUUGUGCGCUGGAUCGCCUGACUGAGACCAUCCUGGGCAACACAGGGAGACACCAUUUCUACAAAAAAUACAAAAAAAUUAGCUUGUUGUGGUGGCACAUGACUGUAGUCCCAGCUACUCAGGUGGCUGAGGUGGGAGGACUUACUGAGCCCAGGAGGCCAAGGCUUUGAUGAGCCAGGAUCAUGCCAUUAUACUCCAGCCUGGGCAAAGAGCAAGACCCUGUCUUAAAAAAAAAAUUAAGAGCAUUUUAAAAAGUGUACAUAUAAAAUAACCACUGGAAUAAAAUUACAAACCUUUAUAAAUAUAAUUUUUAAAGUAAAAAAAAAUACAUUGCAUGGCAAUACAAUUGCCAUGCAGAUACAUGCAAUACAAUUGCAUAGCAGAUACAAUACAUGAUCAAUAUAAAGUAAUGUGGCAGAAUGGAGACCCAAUAUAUCAGUUGUAUCAGUAAAUAUGAGAGGACUCAUAAAAAGAAAACAUUUUUAAUUUGACUCAUCCUCAUCAGCCUUCUUGGCUAGAACUCCCCAUUCUCUCUUGAACCCAUCCAGUCAGGCUCCAGUUCUCACCACCCCCACAGAAACAACUCUUAUCAAGAUAACCAAUGGCUUUCAAAGUUUCUAUUGCUCUCUUCCCAGUCCUUAUUUUUCCAAGUCUCGCAGCAGCAGUUGACAAAGGUGAUCCUGUUCUCCCCAUCAAAAACUGUUUCUUUACUAAUUUCUGGGAUAGCACCUCUCCUGGUACAGGGGAAGGAAGGAAGACUUCCUUCCCAGAGACUUCUCAGAGUUUUUUACUGGAUUCUUCUCCUCUUCCUGAUCUAAUCGAAGGUUGGAUUCUCCCAGGUCUCCUUCCAUGGACCUCUUCUCUUUCCUCUCUUCACUUUUUCUCAUAGUAUCUUCCAUCAUUCCCUUGGCUUUCAUGGACAGGGUGAUGAUCUCCAGAUUUGUAUCCCAGACCCUGAGGUCUUCCCUGAGCUUUAGACUCACAGACCCAACUGUCUACUCAGCUUGGCAUCAGCAUCCAUCCUGCUGGAUUCUGCAGAUCCUGCUGCCCAGAUGCCACAGUGUGGUCUGUUUGGGUACAGACUAGCCAUCUCAAACCUAAUGUAUUCAAAGCUAAAUUACUGAUUUGUCGUUCCUGGUUUGUUUCCUCUACAGUCUUCCCCAUCUCAGGAAGCAGCAGCACCAUUCACCUCGUUGCUUGGUUGAACAGGGGGAGUCUUCCUUGACCCCUCUCUCUCAGAUAAUUUCUCAGUAAGUCCUGUUGGCUCUGGCCUAGCACAGUGGCUCAGGCCUGUAAUUCCAAUGCUUUGGAAGGCCAGGGCAGGCAGAAGGCUUGAGCCCAGAAGUUCAAGACCAGCCUGGGUAACAUGGUGAGACCCAUAUCUCCAUAAAUACAAAAAUUAGCUGGGUGUGGUGGCAUGCACCCAUAGUCCCAGCUGCUUGGGAGGCUGAGAGGUGGGAGGAUACCUUGAUCCAGGAGGUCAAGGCUGCAGUGAGCCAUGAUUGCACCAGUGCACUACAGCCUGGGCAACAAGCGAGACCCAGUCUAAAAAAAAAAGUCCUGUUAGCUCUAACUUGAUCACUCUCUAAUCUGCCCCACCAAGAUCUCUGAGGGCCGAGCCACCCUCCUGUCUGGUCUGGGCUACUCCUGUAGCCUCCUAACUGGCUGCCCCUCACCUCUACUUCUGCCCCCUGCUUUUUUCCUCCACACUUCAGCCAACGGGAUGAUUCUAAAAUGCGGGUCAGAUCACACCACCCCUCCUCAAAACCCUCCAACUGCUUCCCAUCCACACUUACAGGAAAAUCUAAAGAACUCAAUGUGACUUACACAGCCCUGUAUGUUCUGGCCCCUGCCUCUCUCUCCAGCCUCAUUUACUACUUUUCCCUCUCCUUCACCACAUUCCAGAGGCCCUGGCUUCUUUCCUGUUUCCAGGACACGCCAAACACAGUCCUGCCUCAGGGCAGUUUGCUGUCUGGAAGAGCCUUGCCCAGGCCUCAGUAAGGUUCUAUGCUCACUGCAUUCAGCUCUCUGCUCUUCUGAGGGGUCCUCAUGACAAUCACAAACAAAACAGCACCGCUUCACUCGCUGCACUCAAACAUUGCUUCACGUUUCCAUAGUGCUCAUCACCGCUUGCCAGUACAUUGUAUUAAAUAGUUCUGAGUUUUUUUUUUUUUUUUCUUUUGAGAUGGAGUCUCACUCUGUUGCCCAGGCUGGAGUGCAGCGGUGCAAUCUCGGCUCACUGCUACUUCUGCCUCCCGGGUUCAAGCAAUUCUCCAGCCUCAGCCUCCCGAGUAGUUGGGACUAUAGGCAACCGCCACCAUGCCCAGCUAAUUUUUUGUAUUUUUAGUAGAGACGGGGUUUCACCAUGUUAGCCAGGAUGGUCUCAAUCUCCUGACCUCAAGAUCUUCCUGCCUCGGCCUCCCAAAGUGCUGGGAUUACAGGUGUGAGCCACCAUGCCCAGCCUAAACACUUUCAUUUGUCUUUCUCUCCUCUAAAAUAUAAACUCCCUAAAGUGAUGACUUUGUCUUACUCACUACUCUAUUCUCAAUAUGUGGCACAGUGCCUGAAAAAUAGCAUGCGCUCAAUAAAUAAUUGUUGAAUGAAUGAAUGAAUGGAGACAUGGUCCUAUUUUGGCCUGUGAUUCAAUGUUUCCAAAUUCCUGACAGAUUUUAAUCUUUGGGAAUUAGGAAUGAGAAACCAAAAUGUAUAGGCAGUCCAGGGAAUUUCUGAACUCCUAAGUUAGGUACAGGUUGCCUCAUAUAUGUUCAUUUCUUUAAAAAAUGAAACUAUUUUGUCUGCUUUACAAAGAACUGUAGGCAGCCAGGAAUCGUGGCUCACACCUGUAACCCCAGCACUGUGUGUGGGAGGCCGAGACAGGCUGAUCACCUGAGGUCAGGAGUUCAAGACCAGCCUGGCCAAUAUGAUGAAACCACGUCUCUACCAAAAAUACAAAAAUUAGCUGGGCGUGGUAGCACGUGCCUG